GCUGGUCCUUCCUCUUCCAACAUGACUGUGCACCAGUGCACAAAGCAAGGUCCAUAAAGACAUGGAUGACAGAGUCUGGUGUGGAUGAACUUGACUGGCCUGCACAGAGUCCUGACCUCAACCCCAUAGAACACCUUUGGGAUGAAUUAGAGCAGAGACUGAGAGCCAGACCUUCUGGUCCAACAUCAGUGUGUGACCUCACAAAUGCGCUUCUGGAAGAAUGGUCAAAAAUUCCCAUAAACACACUCCUAAACCUUGUGGACAGCCUUCCCAGAAGAGUUGAAGCUGUUCUAGCUGCAAAGGGUGGACCCACGUCAUAUUGAACCCUAUGGAUUAGGAACGGGAUGUCACUUAUGUUCAUAUGAGAGUCAAGGCAGAGUUUCCCUGAACGCCUCCCAUGCAGCUCCAGUAGAAGCUGCUAGUCGUCUGAGCUCAGAGAAGCUUCUAGUCUCCAUCAGUUACUGCAGCAGAGGGAAAUAGAGUUUUAAUGUCAGAUUUAGCUGAAACCAGACCUCCAUCCACGUCUAAACUCCUGAACUUUGAGGGUUUGUGGACCAGACAGAACCUCCAGCUUCUGAAACGUUCUCGUUCCCACGGACUAAAACCAGUGAUCACAGGAACAGAAGCAGCUUCAUGCCUUCGUCCAUCCGGCCUCCGUUGACUCGUCCCGCCUGCCGUCUCUGGAGCUGAAGCUGGAUUGGAACAGACCAAAGUACAGUCCAAUCACGAUGCCAGCUGCCUCUCAAAAGGCUCCUUCAUCUGGCAGGUGGCAGCACUUCUUCUGAAGGGAAGCUGAGCUGGCCCAGCAGAACUUUGGAGAUGUGUUCCAGUGGUUGGUGGAUGUGUGGGGAGAUAGAGAGGGACCUUUGAAUUGUUCACAAAGGAAAACAGGAACCCGUUGGUAGUUUUAGUUUAGGAUGCUACUGCGGUGUGUUUUUGGGUUUUAAGAGGUGAACAGGAAGAGGUUUUUUUCGUAUUGAUUAUCUUUUACUUUGUUCCUGGUUGGAAUGUCCAUCAAUGUCAACAUGAAGUUCACUUUUAGUUCUGUUUAUUUAUUUUUAUUUUACUAACACCCAUUUGUUUUUAACCCCCUCACAUGUUGUGUUGUUGUAAACUUACUCUUUCAAAUAAAUACUGGUCUAACCCUCUGGAAACCAGCGUUUGGACUGUUUUUGUGUUGCUCCUCACCUCCUUCAGACAGCCGGGAUAAAACAACGUUUUGUGGACUAAAGGCUUUUCUAUGACCUUUUUAGA